ACUAAAACAAUGUAAAAGCCUUAACCAAGUAGGCUUACAGAAUAUCAAAACCAUCAAGUUUGAACUAGAGAUAAGAGUUGAAUAGUCUUGCCUGCUCAUCUUAAUCAAGAUAGGAUUGCUUUCAAGCCUGACACUGAUAUUACAGCACUCAAGGACAUGAUAGAGAUACGAAUGGAAUGUAUGCAAUUUCAUUUACAAUUCUAGAGGUUACCAUGGUGGCAGAGGCAAACACCGGGCUGACAGCUGAGUAGAGAGGGAUAAGGGGAGGAGAGGCUGACUGCUCUGUCCCGCAAGGCUCUUUAGGAGGAGACAUCUUUCAAACUCCCAGCCUCCCUCUGAGAACUUUGUAAUGCAGUGAACCAUGCAGGACCUAAGGCACUGUGGGUUCUCUAUGUGCAAAUGGUUCCUGGGUUUUUUCUAUCAGUGUUGAUGGCCUGACUGUUCAAGCACACACUGUAGAGAUAAGAUGACAAGCAUUGACUCAUACCUUGUGUGUUUACAUCUUAGAAUUGGGAGGGUCAGUAAAGUUCCCUUCACCUCUUUGUGAAUGUGAAAAGGUAAUCACACCCUGCUAAUGUUUGACAAUGUCAUAAAACAAGAAGUGUAGUGUU